rnacentral:tRNA from 1 species
GCCCAUGUGGCUCAGUCGGUUAGAGCGCGUCCUUGGUAAGGACGAGGUCCCCGGUUCAAUUCCGGGCAUGGGCU